GUGGGACCACAUGGAGUUUGUUACGGAGAGUGGAGUGGUGUCCAUUGUCGCGACUUGCCGGAAAGUGGUGGGACCACAUGGAGUUUGUUACGGAGAGUGGAGUGGUGUCCGUUGUCGCGACUUGCCAGAGAGUUUGGGCUGGAUGGCUGAAGCUUGGUUGGAACGUCUGGUGGGAUGGAAUAGCUCUCUGUCUCAGUAAUCUAAGAGAAGCUCAAAUAUUUUCGAGGUUGCUGACGGGUUAACUACUGUUGGGUGCCUUAGGCGUUGAUGCUGCAGACGGAAGUCAUCUACUGUAGAAGCCCAGAUGAAAACUUUUUGUUGGAG
rnacentral:lncRNA from 1 species